rnacentral:rRNA from 1 species
AAGCGCUGGCAAUCAGACUUGUGUUUCGGGGUUCCCCCUUGCUUCUGCUUGGGUUACUCCCCGUUAUCCAGGCCAACAUCGGUUUCAGUGGUCGUUUAAAGGCCUUGGGAAUGUACCUAUCCUUCGGGUUAGACUUAUAGCUCAGGGUGUCAUGCGGCCUACCGGGACCGAGGAACGCGCUUCGGCUCGGAUGUUGGCGUAAUGGUUGUCAGCGA